rnacentral:rRNA from 1 species
GACGAACGCUGGCGGCGUGCCUAAUACAUGCAAGUCGAGCGAGCGGCGGACGGGUGAGUAACACGUAUGAACCUACCGAUAAGCGGGGGACAACAUCCGGAAACGGGUGCUAAUACCGCAUACUUAUCGAUGGCCUUUCGGUGCAUUAGCUCGUUGGUGGGGUAACGGCCUACCAAGGCAAUGAUGCAUAGCGGACCUGAGAGGAUGACCAGCCACACUGGAACUGAGACACGGUCCAGACUCCUACGGGAGGCAGCAGUGGGGAAUAUUGCACAAUGGGCGCAAGCCUGAUACAGCCAUGCCGCGUGUAUGAAGAAGGCCUUCGGGUUGUAAAGUACUUUCAGCGAGGAGGCGUUACUCGCAGAAGAAGCACCGGCUAACUCCGUGCCAGCAGCCGCGGUAAUUC